AGUGAACGCUGGCGGUAGGCCUAACACAUGCAAGUCGAACGGCAGCACAGUAAGAGCUUGCUCUUACGGGUGGCGAGUGGCGGACGGGUGAGGAAUACAUCGGAAUCUACUUUUUCGUGGGGGAUAGCGUAGGGAAACUUACGCUAAUACCGCAUACGACCUACGGGUGAAAGCAGGGGAUCUUCGGACCUUGCGCGAUUGAAUGAGCCGAUGUCGGAUUAGCUAGUUGGCGGGGUAAAGGCCCACCAAGGCGACGAUCCGUAGCUGGUCUGAGAGGAUGAUCAGCCACACUGGAACUGAGACACGGUCCAGACUCCUACGGGAGGCAGCAGUGGGGAAUAUUGGACAAUGGGCGCAAGCCUGAUCCAGCCAUAACGCGUGGGUGAAGAAGGCCUUCGGGUUGUAAAGCCCUUUUGUUGGGAAAGAAAAGCAGCAGGUUAAUACCCCGCUGUUCUGACGGUACCCAAAGAAUAAGCACCGGCUAACUUCGUG
rnacentral:rRNA from 1 species